rnacentral:rRNA from 1 species
UACGGAGGGUGCAAGCGUUAUCCGGAUUUACUGGGUUUAAAGGGUGCGUAGGCGGGCCAUUAAGUCAGUGGUGAAAGCUCCGAGCUUAACUCGGAAACUGCCAUUGAUACUAUUGGUCUUGAAUUCGGUCGAGGUUGGCGGAAUGUGUCGUGUAGCGGUGAAAUGCUUAGAUAUGACACAGAACACCGAUUGCGAAGGCAGCUAGCUAGACCGACAUCGACGCUGAGGCACGAAAGCGUGGGGAUCAAACAGG